AGACGAACGCUGGCGGCAUGCCUAACACAUGCAAGUCGAACGGGACUCUUAACGAUCGAGGCUUCGGCCAAGUGAAUUUGAGUUUAGUGGCGGACGGGUGAGUAACGCGUGAGCAACCUGCCUUUCAGAGGGGGACAACAGUUGGAAACGACUGCUAAUACCGCAUGACAUACGAAGGGGGCAUCCCUUUUGUAUCAAAGAUUUAUCGCUGAAAGAUGGGCUCGCGUCUGAUUAGAUAGUUGGCGGGGCAACGGCCCACCAAGUCGACGAUCAGUAGCCGGACUGAGAGGUUGAACGGCCACAUUGGGACUGAGAUACGGCCCAGACUCCUACGGGAGGCAGCAGUGGGGAAUAUUGGUCAAUGGGGGGCAAAACCCCCUGAACCAGCAAUGCCGCGUGAAGGAAGAAGGCCUUCGGGUUGUAAACUUCUUUGACGAGGGACGAUAAUGACGGUACCUCGAAAACAAGCCACGGCUAACUACGUGCCAGCAGCAGC
rnacentral:rRNA from 1 species